rnacentral:rRNA from 1 species
UACGUAGGGACCGAGCGUUGUCCGGAAUCAUUGGGCGUAAAGAGCGUGUAGGCGGCUAUUUAAGUCCUGCGUGAAAUCCUGCGGCUCAACCGCAGACGGUCGUGGGAAACUGGAUGGCUAGAGUGCGGGAGAGGAGAGUGGAAUUCCCGGUGUAGCGGUGAAAUGCGCAGAUAUCGGGAAGAACACCCGUGGCGAAGGCGGCUCUCUGGGACGGUACUGGACGCUGAGACGCGAAAGCGUGGGGAGCGAACAGG